UACGGAGGGUGCAAGCGUUAUCCGGAUUCACUGGGCUUAAAGGGUGCGUAGGCGGAUAAGUAAGUCAGUGGUGAAAUCUCCGAGCUUAACUCGGAAACUGCCGUUGAUACUAUUUGUCUUGAAUAUUGUGGAGGUAAGCGGAAUAUGUCAUGUAGCGGUGAAAUGCUUAGAUAUGACAUAGAACACCGAUUGCGAAGGCAGCUUACUGCGCAAUGAUUGACGCUGAGGCACGAAAGCGUGGGGAGCAAACAGG
rnacentral:rRNA from 1 species